rnacentral:rRNA from 1 species
CAGCCGCCGCGGUAAUACGGAGGGAGCUAGCGUUGUUCGGAUUUACUGGGCGUAAAGCGCACGUAGGCGGGCUUUUAAGUCAGGGGUGAAAUCCCGGGGCUCAACCCCGGAACUGCCUUUGAUACUGGAAGUCUUGAGUAUGGAAGAGGUGAGUGGAAUUCCGAGUGUAGAGGUGAAAUUCGUAGAUAUUUGGAGGAACACCAGUGGCGAAGGCGGCUCACUGGUCCAUUACUGACGCUGAGGUGCGAAAGCGUGGGGAGCAGACAGGAUUAGAUACCCCCGUAGUCCCUGUCUCUUAUAC